GUCAGGAUGGCCGAGCGGUCUAAGGCGCUGCGUUCAGGUUGCAGUUUCCCCUGGAGGCGUGGGUUCGAAUCCCACUUCUGACA
rfam:Danio rerio chromosome 4, GRCz11 reference primary assembly.